AACUUUACAUAUUUAUGCUAAUUAGCCGUUUUGUUGUUAUUGGAGUUGUCAUAGAGUUGUAUUGCCAUAACGACGGGGUAUUUGGAACAAUUUCACAACCUGUUAUUAAGGUGUAAAAUCGGUUUUUUAGUAAAUACACAUUUAGCAAUCGAUACAAAAUUGCGUAGAAAUAUCAACUUUACAUAUGUAUGCUAAUUAGUCGAUUUGAUGUUAUUGGAGUUGUCAUAGAGUUGUACUGCCAUAACGACGGGGUAUUUGGAACAAUUUCUCAUUUUUAUAUUAAGGUGUAAAAUCGAUCUUUUAGUAAAUACACCUUUAGCAAUCGAUAUAAAAUUGCGUAAAAAUAUCAACUUUACAUAUUUAUGCUAACCAGCCGUUUUGAUGUUAUUGGAGUUGUCAUAGAGUUGUAUUGCCAUAACGAUAGGGCAUUUGGAACAAUUUCACAAUCUUAUAUUAAGGUGUAGAAUCGAUUUUUUAGUACAUAUACAUUAAGCAAUCGAUAUCAAGUUGCGUAAAAAUAUGAACUUUACAUAUUUAUGAUAAUUAGCCGUUUUGAUGUUAUUGGAGUUGUCAUAGAGUUUUAUUGCCAUAACGAUAUGGCAUUUGGAACAAUUUCACAAUCUUAUAUUAAGGUGUAGAAUCGAUUUUUUAGUACAUAUACAUUAAGCAAUCGAUAUCAAGUUGCGUAAAAAUAUGAACUUUGCAUAUUUAUGAUAUUUAGACGUUUUGAUGUUAUUGGAGAUGUCAUGGAGUUGUCGUAUAGCCAUAACGACAGUGCAUGUGCAAAAAUUCCACAAUCUUUUUUUAAAAUGUAAAAUCGAUUUUUUAGUACAUACACAUUUAGCAAUCGAUAUCAAGUUGCGUAAAAAUGUAAACUUUACAUAUUUAUGAUAAUUAGCCGUUUUGAUGUUAUUGGAGUUGUCAUAGAGUUGUACUGCCAUAACGACGGGGUAUUUGGAACAAUUUCACAAUUUUUAUUAAGGUGUAAAAUCAAUUUUUUAGUAAAUACACAUUCAGCAAUCGAUAUAAAGUUGCGUAAAAAUAUAACUUUACAUUUUUAUGCUAAUUAGCCUUUUGGUGUUAUUGGAGUUGUCAUAGAGUUGUACUGCCAUAACGACGGGGUAUUUGGAACAAUUUCACAUUUUUAUAUUAAGGUGUAAAAUCGAUCUUUUAGUAAAUACACAUUUAGCAAUCGAUAUAAAGUUGCGUAAAAAUAUCAACUUUACAUAUUUAUGCUAACUAGCCGUUUUGAUGUUAUUGGAGUUGUCGUAUAGCCAUAUCAACAGUGCCUUUGGAACAUUUUCACAGUAUUAUAAUAGGGUAUAGAAUCGAUUUUUUAGUAAAUGCACAUUUAGCAAUCGAUUCAAAGUUGCGUAAAACUAUAAACUUUACAUAUUUAUGCUAAUUAGCCGUUUUGAUGUUAUUGGAGUUGUCAUAGAGUUGUACUGCCAUAACGACGGGGUAUUUGGAACAAUUUCACAAUUUUUAUUAAGGUGUAAAAUCAAUUUUUUAGUAAAUACACAUUCAGCAAUCGAUAUAAAGUUGCGUAAAAAUAUAACUUUACAUUUUUAUGCUAAUUAGCCGUUUUGGUGUUAUUGGAGUUGUCAUAGAGUUGUACUGCCAUAACGACGGGGUAUUUGGAACAAUUUCACAAUCUUUUAUUAGGGUGUAAAAUCGAUUUUUUAGUAAAUACACAUUUAGUAAUCGAUGUAAAGUUGCGUAAAAAUAUCAGCUUUACAUAUUUAUGCUAAUUAGAUGUUUUGAUGUUAUUGGAGUUGUCAUAAUGUUGUACUGCCAUAACGACGGGGUAUUUGGAACAAUUUCACAAUAUUUUAUUAAGGUGAAGAAUCGAUUUUUUAGUACAUACACAUUUAGCAGUCGAUGUAAAGUUGCGUAAAAAUAUCAGCUUUUCAUGUUUAUGCUAAUUAGCCGUUUUGAUGUUAUUGAAAUUGUCAUAGAGUUGUACUGCCAUAACGACGGGGUAUUUGGAACAAUUUCACAAUCUUUUAUUAAGGUGUAAAAUCGAUUUUUUAGUAAAUACACAUUUAGCAAUCGAUGUAAAGUUGCGUAAAAAUAUCAGCUUUACAUAUUUAUGCUAAUUAGCCGUUUUGAUGUUAUUGAAAUUGUCAUAGAGUUGUACUGCCAUAACGACGGGGUAUUUGGAACAAUUUCACAAUUUUUAUUAAGGUGUAAAAUCAAUUUUUUAGUAAAUACACAUUCAGCAAUCGAUAUAAAGUUGCGUAAAAAUAUAACUUUACAUUUUUAUGCUAAUUAGCCGUUUUGGUGUUAUUGGAGUUGUCAUAGAGUUGUACUGCCAUAACGACGGGGUAUUUGGAACAAUUUCACAAUCUUUUAUUAAGGUGUAAAAUCGAUUUUUUAGUAAAUACACAUUUAGCAAUCGAUGUAAAUUUGCGUAAAAAUAUCAGCUUUACAUAUUUAUGCUAAUUAGCCGUUUUGAUGUUAUUGGAGUUGUCAUAGAGUUGUACUGCCAUAACGACGGGGUAUUUGGAACAAUUUCACAAUCUUUUAUUAAGGUGUAAAAUCGAUUUUUUAGUACAUAUACAUUAAGCAAUCGAUAUCAAGUUGCCUAAAAAUAUCAGCUUUGCAUAUUUAUGAUAAUUAGCCGUUUUGAUGUUAUUGGAGUUGUCAUAGAGUUGUACUGCCAUAACGACGGGGUAUUUGGAACAAUUUCCCAAUCUUUUAUGAAGGUGUAGAAUCGAUUUUUUAGUACAUACACAUUUAGUAAUCGAUAUCAAGUUGCGUAAAAAUAUAAACUUUACAUAUUUAUGCUAAUUAGCCGUUUUGAUGUUAUUAGAGUUGUCAUAGAGUUGUAUUGCCAUAACGACGGGGUAUUUGGAACAAUUUCACAAUCUUUUAUUAAGGUGUAAAAUCGAUUUUUUAGUACAUAUACAUUAAGCAAUCGAUAUCAAGUUGCGUAAAAAUAUGAACUUUACAUAUUUAUGAUAAUUAGCCGUUUUGAUGUUAUUGGAGUUGUCAUAGAGUUUUAUUGCCAUAACGAUAUGGCAUUUGGAACAAUUUCACAAUCUUAUAUUAAGGUGUAGAAUCGAUUUUUUAGUACAUAUACAUUAAGCAAUCGAUAUCAAGUUGCGUAAAAAUAUGAACUUUGCAUAUUUAUGAUAUUUAGACGUUUUGAUGUUAUUGGAGAUGUCAUGGAGUUGUCGUAUAGCCAUAACGACAGUGCAUGUGCAAAAAUUCCACAAUCUUUUUUUAAAGUGUAAAAUCGAUUUUUUAGUACAUACACAUUUAGCAAUCGAUAUCAAGUUGCGUAAAAAUGUAAACUUUACAUAUUUAUGAUAAUUAGCCGUUUUGUUGUUAUUGGAGUUGUCAUAGAGUUGUACUGCCAUAACGACGGGGUAUUUGGAACAAUUUCACAAUUUUUAUUAAGGUGUAAAAUCAAUUUUUUAGUAAAUACACAUUCAGCAAUCGAUAUAAAGUUGCGUAGAAAUAUAACUUUACAUUUUUAUGCUAAUUAGCCGUUUUGGUGUUAUUGGAGUUGUCAUAGAGUUGUACUGCCAUAACGACGGAGUAUUUGGAACAAUUUCACAAUUUUUAUUAAGGUGUAAAAUCAAUUUUUUAGUAAAUACACAUUCAGCAAUCGAUAUAAAGUUGCGUAAAAAUAUUACUUUACAUUUUUAUGCUAAUUAGCCGUUUUGCUGUUAUUGGAGUUGUCAUAGAGUUGUACUGCCAUAACGACGGGGUAUUUGGAACAAUUUCACAAUCUUUUUUUAAGGUGUAAAAUCGAUUUUUUAGCAAAUACACAUUUAGCAAUCGAUGUAAAGUUGCGUAAAAAUAUCAGCUUUACAUAUUUAUGCUAAUUAGCCGUUUUGAUGUUAUUGAAAUUGUCAUAGAGUUGUACUGCCAUAACGACGGGGUAUUUGGAACAAUUUCACAAUCUUUUAUUAAGGUGUAAAAUCGAUUUUUUAGUAAGUACACAUUUAGCAAUCGAUAUAAAGUUGUGUAAAAAUAUCAACUUUACAUAUUUAUGCUAAUUAGCCGUUUUGAUGUUAUUGAAAUUGUCAUAGAGUUGUACCGCCAUAACGACGGGGUAUUUGGAACAAUUUCACAAUCUUUUAUUAAGGUGUAAAAUCGAUUUUUUAGUAAGUACACAUUUAGCAAUCGAUGUAAAGUUGCGUAAAAAAAUCAACUUUACAUAUUUAUGCUAAUUAGCCGUUUUGAUGUUAUUGGAGUUGUCAUAGAGUUGUACUGCCAUAACGACAGGGCAUUUCGAACAAUUUCACAAUCUUUUAUUAAGGUGUAAAAUCGAUUUUUUAGUACAUACACAUUUAGCAAUCGAUAUCAAGUUGCGUAAAAAUAUCAACUUUACAUAUUUAUGCUAAUUAGCCGUUUUGAUGUUAUUGGAGUUGUCAUAGAGUUGUACUGCCAUAACGACGGGGUAUUUGGAACAAUUUCACAAUCUUUUAUUAAGGUGUAAAAUCGAUUUUUUAGCAAAUACACAUUUAGCAAUCGACAUAAAGUUGCGUAAAAAUAUCAACUUUACAUAUUUAUGCUAAUUAGCCGUUUUGAUGUUAUUGGAGUUGUCAUAGAGUUGUAUUGCCAUAACGAUAGUGUAUUUGGAACAAUUUCACAAUCUUAUAUUAUUUAUUAU